UGGAGGGAUACCCAAGCCUGGUUAAGGGGACUGAUAUUUAUAUCGGUUAGAAGCUUUAUAGCUUGCGUUGGUUCAAAUCCUUCUCCCUCCGU
rnacentral:tRNA from 1 species